rnacentral:tRNA from 1 species
GGGCCUGUAGCGCAGUUGGGAGCGCGCUUCAAUCGCACUGAAGAGGUCGAGGGUUUCACACCUCGAUACCCACCU